GCGUUUACUUCCCAUGUGCGUGCAACUGCAACUGACGCUGAGAGAUACACCUGCUUUUUAUUAGAGCCGUAAUCCAACUCCAGUCGCUCUUGAGGAAGCAGAGAAGAGAUAGAGGUGAAGGGGCCUCGUGCCCAGUGAGGAGCCCUGGCAGCGCUGCAGAACGGGAUAUUUAGGCUGUUAGAGCACCAGGAAGCUCUGAGUCCCAUUUUGGGUGGUGGUGAAGAUACAGCAGGUCCACAUCAACAUGAGACACAGGCAGCCUCUGUGACGGCCAGCUGCGCGUCUGGAAUACAAGUCAUCUAAUUACGUGGAAAAGAUGGCCACCGACCGCCAGCAAACAAACAGAGUCCCUCUCACCUGUCGCCUGACCUACUUUACCAUGGAAAACACUGCUGGGCUGCUGUAAAGUAUGUUAUUUUAUGGGCCGAAGCGGGUUUAUUUUAGUUAUACAAUUAGGGGACUUAAGGGACACGGCAUCGUAAAUCAGACUUUACCGUAGAUAUGUACUGGCUCAUUGGCCCAUUUUACCUUAGUCCAACUUAAUUGAAUAUGUUAACUUGAAGCUUAAAGAAAAGAUCGAAGAUGAAGAUAUUUAUCUAUGAAGAUAUUUAGCUGUAAAUUGAAUUCAUUUUUGUGGGUAUAUCUCAAAAGCUCUGUGAAAAAAAACAUAUUCCCCUGAAAGAAAGAAAGAAAGAAA
rnacentral:sRNA from 1 species